rnacentral:rRNA from 1 species
UACGUAGGGCGCAAGCGUUGUCCGGAAUUAUUGGGCGUAAAGCGCACGUAGGCGGCUUUGCAAGUCCCAUGUGAAAGCCCACGGCUUAACCGUGGAAGUGCAUGGGAAACUGCAGAGCUUGAGUACUUAAGAGGAUCGCGGAAUUCCCGGUGUAGAGGUGAAAUUCGUAGAUAUCGGGAGGAACACCAGUGGCGAAGGCGGCGAUCUGGGAAGAUACUGACGCUGAGGUGCGAAAGCGUGGGGAGCAAACAGG